ACACUGUGAGGAUUGACAGAUUGAAAGCUCUUUCUUGAUUCAGUGGGUGGUGGUGCAUGGCCGUUCUUAGUUGGUGGAGUGAUUUGUCUGGUUAAUUCCGUUAACGAACGAGACCUUAACCUGCUAAAUAGUCACGCGAACCGGUCCGCAAGGGCUCAAAGUUCGCGGCUCGACUUCUUAGAGGGACUAUUCGCACCCGCCAGCGAAUGGAAGUUUGAGGCAAUAACAGGUCUGUGAUGCCCUUAGAUGUUCUCGGCCGCACGCGCGUUACACUGACGGAGUCAACGAGCGUUUUUCCUUGCCCGACAGGGCUGGGUAACCUCCUGAAACUCCGUCGUGAUGGGGAUAGAUCAUUGCAAUUAUUGAUCUUGAACGAGGAAUUCCUAGUAGGCGCGAGUCAUCAACUCGCGCCGAUUACGUCCCUGCCCUUUGUACACACCGC
rnacentral:rRNA from 1 species